UACAGAGGGGGCGAGCGUUGUUCGGAAUUACUGGGCGUAAAGGGCGCGUAGGCGGCCAACUAAGUCGGACGUGAAAUCCCAAGGCUCAACCUCGGAACUGCGUCCGAUACUGGAUGGCUUGAAUCCGGGAGAGGGAUGUGGAAUUCCAGGUGUAGCGGUGAAAUGCGUAGAUAUCGGAAGGAACAUCAGUGGCGAAAGCGGCUUCCUGGACCAGCACCGACGUUCAGGCACGAAAGCGUGGGGAGCAAACAGG
rnacentral:rRNA from 1 species